AAUAGAUACCCGGGUAGUCCACGCCGUAAACGAUGUCGACUUGGAGGUUGUUCCCUUGUGGAGUGGCUUCCGGAGCUAACGCGUUAAGUCGACCGCCUGGGGAGUACGGCCGCAAGGUUAAAACUCAAAUGAAUUGACGGGGGCCCGCACAAGCGGUGGAGCAUGUGGUUUAAUUCGAUGCAACGCGAAGAACCUUACCUACUCUUGACAUCCAGAGAACUUAGCAGAGAUGCUUUGGUGCCUUCGGGAACUCUGAGAUAGGUGCUGCAUGGCUGUCGUCAGCUCGUGUUGUGAAAUGUUGGGUUAAGUCCCGCAACGAGCGCAGCCCUUAUCCUUUGUUGCCAGCGGUUCGGCCGGGAACUCAAAGGAGACUGCCAGUGAUAAACUGGAGAAGGUGGGGAUGACGUCAAGUCAUCAUGGCCCUUACGAGUAGGGCUACACACGUGCUACAAUGGCGUAUACAAAGAGAAGCGACCUCGCGAGAGCAAGCGGACCUCAUAAAGUACGUCGUAGUCCGGAUUGGAGUCUGC
rnacentral:rRNA from 1 species